UGUUAAAUGUUUCAUCCAUUUCUACUGUUAAAAGUCCGCUUGGCUAAUGGAAUAAUCAAAUAGUUACAUGUGGCGUGCCACGUGUACCUCAUGUUGGCAUACAAGGACUAGUUUUUAUUUGUAGAAAUGGAUGAAAUUUUUAACG
rfam:Gossypium hirsutum cultivar TM-1 chromosome 10, whole genome shotgun sequence